CUCAAUGAUGAUCGUCCUGAUAGGGACAUCAGAUGCAAAGCACAUGAUGUUACCAGGAAAGAGUAUUUUAGUAGAUGCCUCUUGUUAUCUGAAG
rfam:Aspergillus niger DNA, contig: scaffold669_001, strain: An76, whole genome shotgun sequence.